CUUAACAUUUAUAACCUGAUUCCAGGGCCGUCCCCAUACCCCGUCCGGUAUGGGCGCCAAAACCAUGAACCUCAAUACCCCGUCCGGUAUGAGGGUGAAACAGGCCGUCCCCAUACCCCGUCCGGUAUGGACACCAAAACACAUAAGGUCUCCAUACCCCGUCCGGUAUGAGAGACCACGUUCCUGGUAGGGUUCCCUACGGACCCGGUCCGUUCACCAUCUCCCAGGAUACCUUGUCAGGCUGUCCACAUUAUUCGUUUGCCAAUUCACAUAACUUUUUAUCCCUUUUUCUUUAGUCACCAUCAUCAACUCACACACAAAUAUGCAAACCGGUAGUUCACGCCAACAAGACAACACACAACAUCGGGUUCUCAGUCAUUCAGUCCAUAAUCAAUGAAACAGUGAUACAUGCACAUGAAACUAUGAAAUAAAAACAUCAGACAUCAUACUGCAUUUAAAACUGUAAAAUAGAACAAACAACAACUGACCGACAAAUACACUAGACUCGGGCUCCAUUAGCAA
rnacentral:lncRNA from 1 species